AUUGAACGCUGGCGGCAGGCCUAACACAUGCAAGUCGAGCGAGCGGCGGACGGGGACGUAAGGCCUAGGAAUCUGCCUGGUAGUGGGGGAUAAGGUCCGGAACCGGACGCUAAUACCGCAUCCUAUCAGCUUAGCAUGGGUCGGAUUAGCGAGUGGGUGGGGUAAAGGCCUACCAAGGCGACGAUCCCUAGCUGGUCUGAGAGGAUGACCAGCCACACUGGAACUGAGACACGGUCCAGACUCCUACGGGAGGCAGCAGUGGGGAAUAUUGCACAAUGGGCGCAAGCCUGAUGCAGCCAUGCCGCGUGUAUGAAGAAGGCCUUCGGGUUGUAAAGUACUUUCAGCGGGGAGGCGUUACCCGCAGAAGAAGCACCGGCUAACUCCGUGCCAGCAGCCGCGGUAAUAC
rnacentral:rRNA from 1 species